rnacentral:lncRNA from 1 species
CCCACGCUACCCUCAGUAUCUCAAAUAGAUCCUUUCUGUCCCAAAUUAUCCACCAUCUUCAACAAAAAAUGACAGACAAGAAAUUUUCUUAUGUUUUGGUCGGAAAUAUUCCAUCCAAAUUUCACUCUGUGGACCUUCGUUCGUUUUUCUCGCAAUUUAUAGAAACAGAGAAGUUCGACUGCUUUCAUUUUCGCCACAGACCCGAGGUUUUAAAACGAAAAAUCGACAUAGAAAAUGGAGAUAAUUCAGAAUUAACGAACGACUUCAUAAAGGGAAAAACUACUUGUUGUGUUGUUCGGUUAAAGAAGGAAAAUGUCAAAGAAUUACUCGAGAUUUAUGACGGUGAAAAUUGGACGGAUAAAGACGGGAAGUUGUGUGCUCAAAAGGCUGUUAUAUCUAGGAUAAUUAUUAAAAGUGGUGGACUGU